AUUGAACGCUGGCGGCAGGCCUAACACAUGCAAGUCGAACGAGUGGCGGACGGGUGAGUAAUGCAUGGGCAACUGCCUGGUGGAGGGGGUUAACUACUGGGAACGGUAGCUAAUACCGCAUACCAUCGGAUGUGCCCACAUGGGCUUAGCUAGGAGGUGGGGUAAAGGCUCACUUAGGCGACGGUCCCUAGCUGGUCUGAGAGGAUGACCAGCCACACUGGAACUGAGACAUGGUCCAGACUCCUACGGGAGGCAGCAGUGGGGAAUAUUGCACAAUGGGCGCAAGCCUGAUGCAGCCAUGCCGCGUGUAUGAAGAAGGCCUUCGGGUUGUAAAGGACUUUCAGCGGGGAGGCGUUACCCGCAGAAGAAGCACCGGCUAACUCCGUGCCAGCAGCCGCGGUAAUUC
rnacentral:rRNA from 1 species